UACGGAGGGUGCAAGCGUUGUUCGGAAUCACUGGGCGUAAAGCGUGUCUAGGUGGAUUCGUAAGUCAGUUGUGAAAGCCCUUGGCUCAACCAAGGAUGUGCAGCUGAAACUACGAGUCUUGAGAGAUGGAGAGAUGGGCGGAAUUCCGAGUGUAGCAGUGAAAUGCGUAGAUAUUCGGAGGAACAUCAGAGGCGAAGGCGGCUCAUUGGCCAUCAUCUGACACUAAAGCACGAAAGCAUGGGUAGCAAAC
rnacentral:rRNA from 1 species